rnacentral:snRNA from 1 species
AUACCUUUCUCGGCCUUUUGGCUAAGAUCAAGUGUAGUAUCUGUUCUUAUCAGUUUAAUAUCUGAUAUGUGGACCAUCGAUUCACACGAUAUUAACUCAAUUUUUUAAGGGAAGAGUCCAUUAAGAUAGUUUACUGCCUGGGCUCUUGCGCGUCGCCCAUGCGUUGCACUACUGCACGGGCCUGGUGCACCCCAC